UCCUACGGGGGGCAGCAGUAGGGAAUUUUCGUCAAUGGGCGCAAGCCUGAACGAGCAAUGCCGCGUGAACGAGGAAGGUCUUCGGAUCGUAAAGUUCUAUUGAAGGGGAAAAAGAGCGGAGAGAGGAAAUGGUCUCCGAUUGAUAUUACCCUUCGAGGAAGUCACGGCUAACUACGUGCCAGCAGCCGCGGUAAUACGUAGGUGGCGAGCGUUAUCCGGAAUGAUUGGGCGUAAAGGGUGCGUAGGCGGCCUGCUAAGUCUGGAGUGAAAGGUACCGGCUCAACCGGUACAGGCUCUGGAAACUG
rnacentral:rRNA from 1 species